CGAGCGGACUAAUUAAAGAGCUUGCUCUUUAUGAGGUUAGCGGCGGACGGGUGAGUAACACGUGGGCAACCUGCCUUACAGAUUGGGAUAACAACGAGAAAUCGUUGCUAAUACCGAAUAAUCAAUGUCCUCGCAUGAGGACAUUCUGAAAGUUGGCGCAAGCUAACACUGUAAGAUGGGCCCGCGGCGCAUUAGCUAGUUGGUAAGGUAACGGCUUACCAAGGCGACGAUGCGUAGCCGACCUGAGAGGGUGAUCGGCCACACUGGGACUGAGACACGGCCCAGACUCCUACGGGAGGCAGCAGUAGGGAAUCUUCCGCAAUGGACGCAAGUCUGACGGAGCAACGCCGCGUGAGUGAUGAAGGUUUUCGGAUCGUAAAACUCUGUUGUUAGGGAAGAACAAGUAUCGGAGUCACUGCCGGUACCUUGACGGUACCUGACGAGAAAGCCACGGCUAACUACGUGCCAGCAGCCGCGGUAAUACGUAGGUGGCAAGCGUUGUCCGGAUUUAUUGGGCGUAAAGCGCGCGCAGGCGGUCUUUUAAGUCUGAUGUGAAAUCUUACAGCUUAACUGUAAGCGGUCAUUGGAAACUGGGAGACUUGAGUGCAGAAGAGGAGAGUGGAAUUCCAUGUGUAGCGGUGAAAUGCGUAGAGAUAUGGAGGAACACCAGUGGCGAAGGCGACUCUCUGGUCUGUAACUGACGCUGAGGCGCGAAAGCGUGGGGAUCAAACAGGAUUAGAUACCCUGGUAGUCCACGCCGUAAACGAUGAGUGCUAGGUGUUAGGGGUUUCGAUACCCUUAGUGCCGCAGUUAACACAUUAAGCACUCCGCCUGG
rnacentral:rRNA from 1 species